AACGAACGCUGGCGGCGCGCCUAAUACAUGCAAGUCGAGCGAGAAGACGUAGCAAUACGUUUGUAAAGCGGCGAACGGGUGAGGAAUACAUGGGGUAACCUACCCUCGAGUGGGGAAGUAACUAGCCGAAGGUUAGCUAAUACCGCGUACGCUCCUCGGACUUCGGUUCAGGGAGGAAAGCGAUACCGUGGGUAGUCGCGCUCUUGGAUGGGCUCAUGUCCUAUCAGCUUGUUGGUGAGGUAACGGCUCACCAAGGCUUCGACGGGUAGGCUGGUCUGAGAGGACGAUCAGCCACACUGGCACUGCGACACGGGCCAGACUCCUACGGGAGGCAGCAGUAAGGAAUAUUGCGCAAUGGGCGAAAGACCUGACGCAGCGACGCCGCGUGGGGGAGUGAA
rnacentral:rRNA from 1 species